rnacentral:rRNA from 1 species
CCUACGGGGGACAGCAGUGGGGAAUAUUGCACAAUGGGGGAAACCCUGAUGCAGCGACGCCGCGUGAGUGAAGAAGUAAUUCGUUACGUAAAGCUCUAUCAGCAGGGAAGAAACACUGACCUUACGGUCAGCAGACAGUACCUGAGUAAGUAGCCCCGGCUAACUACGUACCAGCAGCCGCGGUAAUACGUAGGGGGCAAGCGUUAUCCGGAUAUACUGGGUGUAACGGGAGCGUAGUCGGUUCGCCAAGUCUGAAGUGAAAUUCCGCAGCUUAACUGCGGAACUGCUUUGGAAACUGGCGAACUAGAGUGCGGGAGGGGUAAGCGGAAUUCCUAGUGUAGCGGUGAAAUGCGUAGAUAUUAGGAGGAACACCGGUGGCGAAGGCGGCUUACUGGAACGUAACUGACGUUGAGGCUCGAAAGCGUGGGGAGCAAACAGGAUUAGAUACCCCUGUAGUC